UCGGCUCGGCUCGGCUCGGCUCGGCUCGGCUCCGCUCGGCUCGGCUCGGCUCCCGGGGCUGGCAGGGCUCACUGUGGAGCGCUCGGGAGGAGCACCAUUCCGUGUGGGGGCUCGUCGCGGAGGAGCCGGACCAGCUGCAGAGCCCGUUACGGUCGAAGCGGCUGAGCUGGUGCUGGCCGUGCCAAAGCAGAGGAACCGCCCAGGCCGCCAGAGAUGCUGAGGAAGGGCCGACGAAUUGGUGGUUACCGGGACAACCCGUGGGCUGUAGCUGAGCUCCACCCACCGCCUGUCCAAGGAGCUGCAGCUGAGGAACAAAGUGAAGCGGGAGCGGAAUGCCAGGCUGCAGCACCAGAGGGAGCGUUGGAAGGAGCGCAGCUUGGAGGCAGCGGUGCUGGAGAAGCGUGCCAGUGAGCUGCCAGAGCGCCUGGGGAAGAGAAAGGCAGCUCUGCCCCAGGAGGAGAAUGUACCGGUUUCUUCAGGUGGGAUUUCCCCACAGCCAGUGGCUUCUGCUCCAAGGGGAGUGGCAGCAGUAGGUCCUUCUAUCCAGUCCUCUGCUACGCCAUGUAUUGCUUCCAGACCUGAACUUGGGGUGAAAGCAGCAUUCUCGGGUGGGACACGAGCCUUGCCAGGCAGCUGAGGGGCUGCUAAAAUCACAAAAUCUGCCCAACGUGGGAGCUGGGAACCGCUGACAAGCUGAAGCUCCUGCAGGUGAGAGCUUACAAUUACUAGUUCUUAUCCAGACAUGUUUUGGUUCCCCUCACAGCUCUGUUUUGGUGUUUUGGGUUCUUUUUUCUGUUUCUUUUUAAAGCAAAGACUUAUUUGCAAUGUGAGUCUCACUACUUGCAAUUUUUUUUUUUUAGUUCUCUUAGUGAGCAAUUUGAAUUGUUAGACAGCGUGGACUGCAGAAGGAUUUUUCAGUAAACUGAUUGUUUUUUAAUUUAUUGUAAAGCUCUCCUAAAAACUCUACACCGGUGUGUGUUCGCUGCACCUGCCCUGGGGGCUGCGGGGAGAAGCAGCUGGGGGGGGUUUGCUCUCUGCCCCUUUGCCACCUUCCCCUCGGUUCUCUGGGACUCCAGGGAAUCCCAGCUCCCCUUGGCUUCUCCGGGGGCCUCGCGGCAGGGUUUCCAAGUGUGGCGCUGAGAUUUUCUGGCCUGGGAACUGAUGGCUGUUUCGGGGCACGUCUCAGCGGGCAGUCUGUCUUUGAACGCUUGCCGGGGCAGGAGAAUUGCGGCGGAAGAAAGCAAAGGAAGCCCAGAGCCUGGAGUAGGCAGGCCCGGGCCUCUGGUGAGCCCAGGCCUUGCUGCUCGGUGCCGAUUGUGCCCGGGGCUUGUUCCUCACCAUUCGGUUCCAAAUGAGAGGGGAGCAAGAGGCAGAACAGCCCGCUGCUGCUGCUGCUGCUGCUGCUGCUGGGGCUGAACUGUCUGCAGUGCCCGGGGGCCGGGCAGGACUUGGCCCCGAUGCCUGCAUUGCUCUGCAGUGGCCAGGGAGGGGUCCCAAAAGUCACCCCCCCGCCUGCUGUGCUGCACAGCAGGGGCUGGCUGGGCCGGUUCCCGGCCGGGGGAGCCCGGGGGAGGCCGUGCUGGGGCUGAGGGGCUGCUGCUCUCUGGGCCUCUCGAGCUUUGCCUUGGAAUCCCAAAGCCUGUGCCUGCGCGGGGGAGAGGAGGCAAAGGUGACUGUCAAUUGGUUUGUUGUGGAGUGUUUUGGGGCCGAGUUAAUGCUCUUGGCUUGUUGUGUGUCAGUUCCCAGCCUCGGUCAGGGCUUCCCGGGGAGCGUUGCCGCUGCUGCCGCCGCUGCCGCCGGGAGAGAGAAGUCCUUUGGGAAGCCGGGAUAAAACCAGCAACUCUGUGAAUUGCUCGCCUUUUCCUAGGGAAGGGCAGGUUUUCGGGAAGAAAGGCCCGUCCUCGCGAAAGGCGCCGCGGGUCUCGCAAGGGGGGGGGGCGCGGCUGCAGUGCCGCUCCCGGCCGUGUCCGCCAGGCGGCGACUGCGAGGCAGCGCCCGGCGGUCGGGGGCGGCGAGCGGCGGUGUUUGGUCAGU